rnacentral:rRNA from 1 species
GAUGAACGCUGGCGGCGUGCCUAAUACAUGCAAGUCGAGCGAACAGACGAGGAGCUUGCUCCUCUGACGUUAGCGGCGGACGGGUGAGUAACACGUGGAUAACCUACCUAUAAGACUGGGAUAACUUCGGGAAACCGGAGCUAAUACCGGAUAAUAUAUUGAACCGCAUGGUUCAAUAGUGAAAGACGGUUUUGCUGUCACUUAUAGAUGGAUCAGCGCCGCAUUAGUUAGUUGGUAAGGUAACGGCUUACCAAGGCAACGAUGCGUAGCCGACCUGAGAGGGUGAUCGGCCACACUGGAACUGAGACACGGUCCAGACUCCUACGGGAGGCAGCAGUAGGGAAUCUUCCGCAAUGGGCGAAAGCCUGACGGAGCAACGCCGCGUGAGUGAUGAAGGUCUUCGGAUCGUAAAACUCUGUUAUUAGGGAAGAACAAAUGUGUAAGUAACUAUGCACGUCUUGACGGUACCUAAUCAGAAAGCCACGGCUAACUACGUG